rnacentral:rRNA from 1 species
GAUGAACGCUAGCUACAGGCUUAACACAUGCAAGUCGAGGGGCAGCGGGAUUGUAGCAAUACAAUUGCCGGCGACCGGCGCACGGGUGAGUAACACGUAUCCAACCUGUCCCAUACUCGGGGAUAGCCUUUCGAAAGAAAGAUUAAUACCCGAUGGUAUCAGAUUAAGGCAUCUUGAUUUAAUUAAAGAGAUUCGGUAUGGGGUGGGGAUGCGUUCCAUUAGCUUGUUGGCGGGGUAACGGCCCACCAAGGCAACGAUGGAUAGGGGUUCUGAGAGGGA